rnacentral:rRNA from 1 species
UACGUAGGGUGCGAGCGUUAAUCGGAAUUACUGGGCGUAAAGCGUGCGCAGGCGGUUUGUUAAGACAGAUGUGAAAUCCCCGGGCUUAACCUGGGAACUGCAUUUGUGACUGGCAAGCUAGAGUAUGGCAGAGGGGGGUAGAAUUCCACGGUGUAGCAGUGAAAUGCGUAGAGAUGUGGAGGAAUACCGAUGGCGAAGGCAGCCCCCUGGGCCAAUACUGACGCUCAUGCACGAAAGCGUGGGGAGCAAACAGG